GAUGAAGAACGUAGCGAAAUGCGAUAAGUAAUGUGAAUUGCAGAAUUCAGUGAAUCAUCGAAUCUUUGAACGCACAUUGCGCCCAUUAGCAUUCUAGUGGGCAUGCCUGUUCGAGCGUCAUUUCAACCCUUAAGCCCUGUUGCUUAGCGUUGGGAGCCUACAGUACUGUAGCUCCCCAAAGUUAGUGGCGGAGUCGGUUUCACACUCUAGACGUAGUAAUUUUUUCUCGUCUGUAGUUGAGCCGGUCCCCUGCCGUAAAACACCCAAUUUAUCAAGGUUGACCUCGGAUCAGGUAGGAAUACCCGCUGAACUUAAGCAUAUCAAUAGCGGAAGA
rnacentral:misc_RNA from 1 species